AUUACAUUUCAUUCAGUGCUAGUGAUUACAAGCUUGCGGCUAAAUUCACACGAUAUCACACACAUACAUACAAGCGAGGUUCGCAACACCUCCCCCCUUAUACAAAAGGUGUUUCCAAUGGGAACAGCUUUCCUUAAAGUGUUUACGCUAGCCUAAAUUACAUUGUUUGUACGGAAACUUCGCGUUGUCACACCCUUCUAUACAAGCGAUAUUUUUUACGUUGCAUGAACCAUAUAAUAAUACGUUGUAGAUAUUAUAAGUUCUCAGGAUACAUAACUUAAACCCUAAAGUAAGAAUAGGUCAUUACAUUUUCUUGUGACUUUGAAUGGUCCUGCCAAAUUGCAAUCAAAUUUCAAGAUUUCUAGUUCUUUAGGUUUACUGCUGCUGCAGAUUGCGUGUUUCUAAUUCUGAAGAACAAAUCAUCCAAUUAACCUAAGAAAGUACGUGGAGGUUCCUGCUUAAAAAAAAACUCAGAUGGAAUGGUGGCUUUCACACCGACUACCAAUUUGUGUGGGGUGAAACCAGUGGCUUCAUGUACUGAGAGUUUACGGGAGGCAAAUCGUUGGCGCCUACGACAUCCUCCCGCAACCCCCAAAAAGGAGAGGCGUCUGUGUCGUCUGUUUCAAUUUAAUUUGGUAAGUGAGCGUUAUUCGGACAAGAGGACAUUUGUUUCAUUUGAGAAAGGUUUAGAGGAUUGCGGAACAACGCAUCGGCAUUCAGCGAAAUCUACCUUACAAACGUUCGCGUUUCCGAUAAGAGGCUACGAAGAUAGGGACAAUCUUGACCCUUCGACCGUUACUGAUUCUAAUCUACGUGCGACGUCGAUAACAGCUUCAAGAUUUGUCAGAGAACAAGAUUUUCCAUCAAACUGAGGUAUCAAAUCCUUCACUAAAGAGAGACGAAGAUAUGACGCUGGAAGCAUACUAGAUGACUCUAUAGAGGUUGGAGUAUUUUUAGAAACAGCAGCAGCAAACGUAGUCGAGGACAAAGGUACAUCAAUUUCUGUGCUAUUAAAGGGGAUAGAAAUAUUAUCCGUCAUAACUGUAUCAAUCCCCUGGGAUAACUGUCGAAUUGGAACUAAUCCUAAUUCUUUCGAUUGCAGAUCUGUAGAAGAUGCCCCGGAAGAUAAAGAAAAUUCUGCAUUUGAUGAAUCUAUGUUUAAUUCCUCUACCAAAAAUGUAUUUUCCCGCAGGCCGAUUUUGCGAUUCCUUUUGGCGCGCAUGUACUUUAACUUAUACGGCGGCAUUUUGUCAAAUUAUUUCUAACGGUUUCACUUAACGAGUUUUCUAUUUUCAAACACCAAACUCCGUCCGUCGGUAAUCCAUUAUCUCGGUUGGCCUUGAAUCACGGGGAGAUCCUCUGGUUCUGCGAUUUGAUGAUGAUCUCUGUUUCCAAGUCGAAGAGAGGUCCAAUGAUGAUGUGAACAAGGUGCAUGUGAUUCCGGUGGAUGGCUUGCACGGCAGCCGAAAUCACCUGUCUCCGGUAUUCACCCUACGCUCUUGAGGAAACCGUGCCAAAACUCAAGAGGGAGAAGUUGCACUAAUGUUAACAAUGUUCACUUAUAUUAUAAAAGCUCAAUGAAGCAGUUCGUAAAACGUUCAGUUAUUUAUUUAACACACGCCCGCGAGCCGGCAAAGUUAUUAAAGCGUACACAAGUCUAACACAGUCACUUUGUCUUGUUUUGCGUUAUUUGCAAUUACUACACUGAAUACACCUUUUUAAAAUUA